UUCCGGUUGAUCCUGCCGGAGGCGACCGCUAUUGGAGUUCGAUUAAGCCAUGCGAGUCGAGAGCUUUCGGAGCUCGGCAUACUGCUCAGUAACACGUGGAUAACCUGCCCUGUGCUCCGGGAUAACCUCGGGAAACUGAGAAUAAUACCGGAUAGUCCACCACGCCUGGAACGGUGGGUGGAUCAAAGGUCACGGCACAGGAUGGGUCUGCGGCGUAUCAGGUUGUAGGGGGUGUAAAGGACCCCCUAGCCAUUGACGCGUACGGGUUGUGGGAGCAAUCGCCCGGAGAUGGAUUCUGAGACACGAAUCCAGACCCUACGGGGUGCAGCAGGCGCGAAAACUUCACACUGCAGGAAACUGUGAUGAGGGAACUCCAAGUGCAUGCACAAUGUGUAUGCCUUUCCUAACUUUUAAUCGGUUAGGGAAUAAGGGCUGGGAAAGACCGGUGCCAGCCGCCGCGGUAAUACCGGCAGCUCAAGUGGUCGUCGCUUUUAUUGGGCCUAAAACGUCCGUAGCCUGUUUGGUAAAUCUGUGGGUAAAUCAAACAGCUUAACUGGUUGAAUCCUGCAGAGACCAGCAGACUAAGGAACGGGGAGAGGUGUGGGGUACUCUCCGGGUAGGGUAAAACCUGUCAUCUGGGAGGACCACAGU
rnacentral:rRNA from 1 species